rnacentral:snRNA from 1 species
GGAUGUGAGGAUAAUUGGACUGCAACAGAUGCCACCCCCAUUAUUGCCAGUGUUGAUUGGGCUGACCUGGCCGGCUUCCUCCCUCACCACUCCAUGUCUGGUUCUCUUCAAGCUGUGCCUGUUUUGUCCAAGGGGACGACCUUCCCUGACACAGGAGGGCUGUUCUUCAGUCAAGGAUACAUGAAUAGCUGCUAGAACCUCCAGACAAGCUCUCACGGUCCACUUCCGAACCCACCGGGCUCCCU